rnacentral:rRNA from 1 species
GUUUGAUCAUGGCUCAGAACGUACGCUGGCGGCACGCCUAACACAUGCAAGUCGAACGAAGUAGCAAUACUUAGUGGCAGACGGGUGAGUAACAUGUGGGUAUCUGCCCUUUGGCCUGGAAUAACACGAGGAAACUUGUGCUAAUACCGGAUAAGUCUUUACGGAGAAAGCUUUAUGCACCAUUGGAUGAGCCCGCACUUGAUUAGUUUGUUGGUGGGGUAAUGGCCUACCAAGACUGUGAUCAAUAGCUGAUUUGAGAGGAUGAUCAGCCACAUUGGGACUGAGACACGGCCCAAACUCCUACGGGAGGCAGCAGUGGGGAAUCUUGCACAAUGGAGGAAACUCUGAUGCAGCGAUGCCGCGUGAGUGAAGAAGGCCCUUGGGUUGUAAAGCUCUUUCGUCGGGGAAGAAAAUGACUGUACCCGAAUAAGAAGGUCCGGCUAACUUCGUGCCAGCAGCCGCGGUAAUACGAAGGGACCUAGCGUAGUUCGGAAUUACUGGGCCUAAAGAGUUCGUAGGUGGUUGAAAAAGUUAGUGGUGAAAUCCCAGAGCUUAACUCUGGAACUGCCAUUAAAACUUUUCAGCUAGAGUAUGAUAGAGGAAAGCAGAAUUUCUAGUGUAGAGGUGAAAUUCGUAGAUAUUAGAAAGAAUACCAAUUGCGAAGGCAGCUUUCUGGAUCAUUACUGACACUGAGGAACGAAAGCAUGGGUAGCGAAGAGGAUUAGAUACCCUCGUAGUCCAUGCCGUAAACGAUGUGUGUUAGACGUUGGAAAUUUAUUUUCAGUGUCGCAGCGAAAGCGAUAAACACACCGCCUGGGGAGUACGACCGCAAGGUUAAAACUCAAAUGAAUUGACGGGGACCCGCACAAGUAGUGGAGCAUGUGGUUUAAUUCGAAGAUACGCGCAGAACCUUACCAACACUUGACAUGUUCGUCGCGACUCUAAGAGAUUAGAGUUUUCGGUUCGGCCGGACGAAACACAGGUGCUGCAUGGCUGUCGUCAGCUCGUGUCGUGAGAUGUUGGGUUAAGUCCCGCAACGAGCGCAACCCUCACUUUUAGUUGCCAUCAUUAAGUUGGGCACUCUGAAAGAACUGCCAGUGAUAAGCUGGAGGAAGGUGGGGAUGACGUCAAGUCCUCAUGGCCCUUACGUGUUGGGCUACACACGUGCUACAAUGGUAUCUACAACAGGAAGCAAGACUGCGAGGUCAAGCAAAUCCUUAAAAGAUACCUCAGUUCGGAUUGCACUCUGCAACUCGAGUGCAUGAAGCUGGAAUUACUAGUAAUCGUGGAUCAGCGUGCCACGGUGAAUGCGUUCCCGGGUCUUGUACACACCGCCCGUCACACCAUGGGAGUUGGUUCUACCUUAAGGCAAGGUUUCAAACCCUUGACCACGGUAUAGUCAGCGACUGGGGUGAAGUCGUAACAAGGUAACCGUA